rnacentral:rRNA from 1 species
UACGGAGGGAGCUAGCGUUGUUCGGAAUUACUGGGCGUAAAGCGCACGUAGGCGGCUUUCUAAGUCAGGGGUGAAAUCCUGGAGCUCAACUCCAGAACUGCCUUUGAUACUGGAGAGCUAGAGUCCGGAAGAGGUGAGUGGAACUGCGAGUGUAGAGGUGAAAUUCGUAGAUAUUCGCAAGAACACCAGUGGCGAAGGCGGCUCACUGGCCCGAUACUGACGCUGAGGCACGAAAGCGUGGGGAGCAAACAGG